UAUCUACUCCCUUCGUCCGGAAAUACUUGUCAUAGGAAUGAAUGUAUCUAAAUGUAUUUUGGUUCUAGAUACAUUCAAUUUUGUACACUUAUGCAACAAGUAAUUCUAGACGAAGGGAGUACAUA
rfam:Hordeum vulgare subsp. vulgare, WGS project CAJW01000000 data, contig: morex_contig_1558521